rnacentral:lncRNA from 1 species
CGGCUGUGUGAGCGGCGGACGCUCGGCGCAGUGCUCCCAUCUGUCAACCGGGAGUGGCGAGCCAGCCGCGCGCCCCCAGAGCUGGCGCCUCGCGUCCCACUGAACUCUGGCGACGGCAGAAACCCUCGCUGCCGCUGGGAGAACGGGGCCCAACCAGGGCAUGGAAGACAGCGAUCGCUAGGGACGGCCUGUGGAGGCCCUCCGAGACACUUCGUGACACCAAGGCAGCGCGGGUCCCUUCAGAUCCCUGUGAGAAAGGCUGACCGCCGUCCCCGGGUAGAGGGGAGCCAUGGAAGGGUGAGGAGCGAGAAACGUGGUCGGAUUUGCAGUUUCCAGCACGCGGAGCAAGGGCCGAGAGGGCGGGGACGGGGCUCCCGGCAGACGCUCGGUCCGAGUCCCCGCCCACUCCCCACAGCCGCGGGACAUUGGAGACUGACUUAGCCUGCAGUGCCUCAGUUUCCUCAUCUGUUAACAGACGAUAAGAGGGGUGUUUAUAAGGAUUAAAUGAGAGGACCCGUGUGAAGCGCACGCCUGGAGGGAGCGCUCGGCCCACGGUAGGCAUUGCUGUCAGUCCGAGAGAGAAAUCGUGAUCCAUGAGCGUGUCGUUUGUGAAGACCAAAGGGAUGAAGCCUUGAAGGCCCUCUGUACGGGCCCCGGAGCACAGGGGCGCCUUAUAACACUACCCGGCCGUCCCCGUGCCCUGCGCCAGGUGGUCCAGCGCUGGGACCGCCGCCUGGCCUGGCCUCCCACCCCCUCCUCCGGGCGCCCUGGCGGGACCGCCCUCGUGACCCUGCUUCCUGUUUGCGAUGCCAACCCUGGAGGGAGGAAGUCGGUGCCCCCACCCUGGGGCCCCGAGGGCAGGAAUGUGGACGUGCUGACGUCAAAGCGUGUCCCGGUCCCGGGGAAGUCGGGAUGGGAAGGGCUUCCUGCAAACCAACUUUGAUCCCAGGCCUGAGCUGGGGUUGUAAAUCAGCCCUGAGGGAGCCCAGCCACCGAGCUUCCUCUGAUGAACGCCCUGGGGUCGAGUCAGGGUCCUACCCCCACACUGUGCCCGCGGGCGCAUCACCUCCCCCUCCUAGCCUCAGUUCCCUCGCCUGUGGGGCAGGGAUGUGUGUGCAUCUCAGCGUCCUUCCUCCGUCUGACACAUCUUGCAGGGCUGAGCCUGCCUGGCUGCGGGGGCUCCUUGGGGGAAGGUCCCCUGGCUGGUGACACGGGGUGGAGGCUCUGAGGCCGCCAGACAGAGGCACGAAGCAUUUCUGGAGGUGGCUGCAGGGAGGUUUCCCAGCAUUAGGCCUGUGACUCAAGCUGAAGCCUAGGCCCAGGCACUUCCUGACCUAGUGACUCAGUUUCCCCUGCAGAGGCAUCCCACAACGCCUGCUUCUCAGCCUGGCAGAGGCAUUGAGACCUGGCUAGUGUGUGUCUGUGGGGGUCCCUAGUGAUGCCAUUUAUCAAGUGCUUCCUGAGCACUCAGGGCUUUACGUAUGGGUUGUCACUUGGUUCCCAAUCCAGCUCGAAGAGGUAGAGACUGCGAUUAGUCCCAUUUUACAGAAGGGUAAACUGAGGCUCGGAAAGCUGAAGGAAGUUGCCCAAGAUCACAGAGCUGGGAAGUGGCAGAGCCAGAAAAGAGUGCUGCUCCGACAUCGUGGCAGGCCCUCCCUUGGAGAGGCCUCCUGACGGACAGGCAGGGCCCUUGACGGUGGCAAGGCCAUCAUUCAGAGUGCGCACCGGGAAUCUAUCCCACAGAGGGUCUCCCAGCCCCUAUGCCCACCUGCCCUGUGG